rnacentral:lncRNA from 1 species
UGACACACCCCGUCCCGAAGGAGGGCAUGCUGGCCGUCACGUGAGAGUGACGUAACCAUUUGCACAGUACGAAAGCUUUAAGAUACAAUUUAAAUUGAUACACCCGAAGGUGAGUCCUAAUUUUGUCCAAUCUGUCAGAACACCGUCGAAUUCCUCGUAGUCACCACACCUUUGUGAUUCCUGAACCUGGAGGGGCGCAAAACCAAAAUUGAGUGGGUCAGUAAAACAAUUCUUUUCCAAAUCCAAACAUUUCUCAAAACGUUGUAACCCCUCUCCGUAAAACCUGUAUACUUUCCCAGAAAUGUAAAAUAUAAAUAUACAUAUAUAUUCUCAAAACUUCAUUUUUACUAUCUCAACAUUAUCUCUUUAUCAAUCAUGCCAUGCCAUGUCAUCUCAACAUUUCUCAUAUUAAUUAUGCCAUGCCACACAUCAUCUCAACAGUAAUAAGGUAUGAAUGCAUCAACAUAAUCAUAUCAGGUGCAAGAAAGUAAUCAACCGUAGGCCCUCUAAUAGCCCUAUACGGUUGAACCUAGAGCUCAAAAAUCUAUCAUUAUCACUCUACCGGAGUCACCUCUGUGACCCGUCCGGCCUUCUCUGCACACAAGUUACGCUCUAGUGCUUCUCAUAAAUCAUCUGUGCACAUAAUCUAAGGUCACCCACCAGUCGGAAUCUCACUAACACUCUCGCGACUGGUCUGUCGUACCCACUCCGCGUGGACUGUACGACUAGCAUCUACUUGGAUCCAAGGCGAGCGUGCGAUGCGGUGAAUACUAUAAGCACUAAACCAUGGUGCAGGAUUUGAGCUCAAUAUAUAUCAUCAUCAUCAUAGCAGUAAUUAAAUACUCAUCUGUGCGUCCACCGCACCAUUUCAUACAUAUGCAUCAUAAAUCAAUUCUUACCUGUGCGUCCACCGCACCAAUUCAUACAUAUGCAUCAUAUAUUAAUUCAUGCAUGGCAUUUCAACUCACAUUUCUAUAUACUUUUCAUAUCAAUUCUAUGCAUGGUAUUUCACUUCCCGUUUUUCCACAUAACUCAUAUGCAUUUCAUUUUAAACAUAAUUUCAUGCAUUUUCAAUUUCUGGGAAAACGUUAAGUAUAUAUAUAUAUACGGAAAACAAAACUGCCCACUCACUUGGAGUUCGCCCUACAACUCCCUAGCACAAUACGCCAAGGCGUCAUGACGAUCGGCGCCUAAAACAAUAAUCAAUUCCAACCUCAGAAUUCAUAUCGAUAGAAUAUAUAACUUAUAUAAAAUACGUCACUACGUAGAUUGAUCCGGAAGAUCCACCCUCAGAUUUUAAAUCCAUAACUUCCAGAGGUUCACAUUAUACCUCUAGGACAACAAUCCUAAAAUUUCAUUACCAUCCAACGGUCGGAUCUCCGUCAAUUUCCAAAACUAAGUGACGGUUAACAUUUUUAUAUUAUGGACUUACAAUUCCAAUUCCGGAAGAUCCGUAACUCGGAUUCCCAAUCCGUAAGUUCCAAUAAUCCUCAAAUAUUAUGUAUUACAACGUAUCAAAGUUUGGUGACGAUCCAACGGUCGGAUCAUCAAUUUACAUUUUCACCUAAAUGUGAAAACUAUAAAACGUUAUUUGAACACCUAACCAACAAUCUUCAAUAACUUUCUCAUACGGUGUUCAAUUUAGGUAUAUGAAUAUAUCACAGUGAUCUACUCGACGUCACGGACGUCGACAUAUUUUUAAAAUAAUUUUAUUUUUAUUUUUUUAUUUUUACUGUAGCACCUUCUUCUUCCUUGGGUCGCCGGACUGGUUUUUCCGGCGGCCGUUUUCUGGGCAGUUUUUCAAAUUGCCAUAACUUUGUCAUUUCUCAACUAAAUCAAGUGAUUCAAAAACGAAAGUUGUAGCCCUUGAAGAGACAAAAGAGAAUGGUACCUUUCCCAACACCUAGUUCGCCGUAGUUUGGCCGGAAACUGCCUCGAAAGCCUCGGAGGUCGCCGGAAACUGGGUAUUUUUCAAAUGAGUAUAACUUCUUCAAUACUCAACGAAAUUGAGUGAAACAAAAAGGAAAGUUGUAGUACUUGACGAGAUGAAGAGAUUGAUACCUACCUCGACGCCUAACUCGCCGGGGAUUCGCCGGAAAAUUCCUCGAAAGCUCCGGCCAAACUUUGAACUUAUCGAUCUCCGUGUUCUUACGUCCAAAAACUUCCAACGAAGCACUCCGAGCUUCCUUGGAACCUCACUAAGCUCACUGUGAGCUUGGAUUGUCCUAAAAAAAAAAGUCAAUUCGAAGAUCAUGAACAGUGCACUUUCACGGGGAGUUUAGAAUCUAGGUUUUCCGAAGUAAAACUUACCUGAAAUUGGUGUCUACGUGAUCGUGGAGUCUCCAGGAGUUCGAUGGUGGUCUUAACUCCGUCGUUGGUGGAAGUUUAAGGUUGUUUUGUGGUUGGUUUGUUCGAACGGAGAAGAAGAGUGACAGAGAGAGAGAGAUUCAUGAGGGAGGAGAGAGAGAGACAGUAUGCAGAAAAUAGGGAGAGGAUUGAGGGGUGUGGGGAUCCCACGUGUCCAACUCAAUCCAAAUUGUUAAAUUUUCGCCCCUUAGUCCCGUUUAAGGGCAUUUUCGUCUUUUCAUGUCCUCGGAAUUAAAAUUCCGGGACGGGCUGUGACAAUCUUCCCUCCUUAUAGAAUUUCGUCCCCGAAAUUCCAGCAACCAACUAAAUCAACCAUACUCCAACAAUAGCUUCGGGUAAAUCUUUCUCAUCCGAUUCUCUUUCUCCCACAUACUUUUCUACUGAAUGAUUUCCUUCACAAAGCUUUUACUACUUACUCUGUCUUAAUUCUCAGGACCUUCUUUUUCCAAUCCAAAGUCGUCCUUGAUUCCUUAUCAAGUCGAAUCCAAUUUAAUUCUCAAUAGUUACACCAGAAUCUCAUGUGACGAAUCUGCCACCUAGUGACAACGCAUCGAAUCAUAAAAUAUGUUUUGCACCUUAACCAAUUCUGAGGGCAUCACAAGCUUGUAAGCAACUUCACCAACUUUUCGAUAAUCACUUAAGUCCGAUUAACUUAGGAUUUAACUUACCUUCUUUCUCUACCUUGGUUAAUUCUUAAAUUUCCUCGCCAAACAUUUAAGUUUCGAGUACGACCUUACCAAACAGGCCUAACUUGAAAAUUAACAAGUAUAACUUCUUCUCAAUCUUCCAUUCUUAAUUUUUCUUCCGUUGGUUUUCAAUCCACAAGAUGAUACUCUUGACAAACGUGCCAGACAUUAAUCUUACUGCAAUCUUUUCACCAAGUGUAUCAGCUAGAACAAUUUUACGAUCACCCUGGUCGUACAAUCAUAUACAUUAAACAAUUCAAUUUACCUUCGCUACCUCAGAUCAAAAUCCUUCCGAGUAAUGGAUAUUGAAGACUUUUUGGAUUCGUAAAAAUCUUGCAUUCUUACCAAAUAUAUAAUGUCUCCAUAACUUCACAGUAAGAAUGGUAAUCAUGACUUCCAAGUCACCCGUAGGGUAAUUCAUCUCAUGAGGUUCCAUUUAUCGUGAAACGUAUGCAAUCACCCUAACAUUUACAUCAACAUGCCUCCAAUACCAUUCAAGAAACAUCACUAAAAAUUUAUGAUUACCACUAUUCUCUGGGAAUACCAAAAUACGUGCAUGAGUGAGGAAAUACUUCAGUUGUUGAAUCCUUUGCUCACAAUUUCCUUCCCACUCAUACAUAACCUCUUUUCUCAACAGUCUCGUCAAUGACAAAGCAAUGACUGAAAAUUCUUUCACAACCAUCCAAAAUAGCCUGAUAAGUUAAGAAUUUCCGAAUCUCAAUUAUGGCUUGUGGUUGUUCCAAUUUCUCAAUUCUGCUGCCUUUUAAGAAUUCAUUUGAAUACCUUAAGCAGAUAUAACCAAUCUCAUAAUGCCACUUGAUUCAUCCAACAUUCGCAUUUGCUAAACUUAGCAUACAAUCGACAUUCUUCCAAUCUUUGUUCCACUGACUUAAUACGUUUACAUGCUCUGCUCUGGCUCAGAAUAUGCCAGAAUAUCUUCAAUGAAAAUGAUAUCAAUUUAUCAAGGCAUUAUUGGAAUACUUCCUCCAUCAACUCAUAAAACAGCAUGAGUAUCCAUAUAGCAUCACCAAACUUCAUAAAGACUAUAACAAGUCCAGAAAACCAUCUUAUGAUCAACGUCACUUAUAAUAUUCAAUUGGUAGUAACCAGAUCUCAAUUCAAUCUUUGAAUCUUCGCAAUUACUUCUGAGCUGGUUAAAUAAACAUUAGUACAUCACCAUGGAUAACGGUUCUCAUUCGUUACCCGAUUCCAUUAUCUAUAAUCAAUGGAUAGCCUUAAAUCCAUUUUCUUCCUCACCAACGAACUGGGGCUCCCCCAAAGUGUUGUACUAGGUUGAAUAAAACUUUUAUCAACCAAUUCUUUCAACUAAAUUUCCAUUUCCCUUAACUCAUCAUGAACCAAUCUUUAACAUAAAUUUAUACCUGGCAACAAAUCAAUAGUGAACCUCAUAUCUCUGCCUGAAGGCAAUCCAGGUAUACUUUCAAGGAAGACAUCAAGAAAGUCUAACCCCUUUUUCAUUUUUCACACUUCUCCAAACAACAUCAUUUAGCACCACAUGAGCUAAGUAUUUUUGGGCAGCCUUUCAAAACAAUCUCUUUGCUUUCACAGCAUAAAUAAUGGCUGAACUCACUUCACUUUGUAUACCCACCAAAGUAACCUCUAAUUAAUCAACUCGAUGGAAAGUAACUGGUUUCCCGUAACAUUCCAUCUAGUCACAACUAUAAACAAUCACUCUAAUGGAAUAAAAUUAAUUGACCCAAUACAUACUUUAUUAUUACUGAACAUUCUAAGUAAGUACAACACUAGCAUAAAAUAACCUACCGGUUUGCUUGCUUAACGAAUCCACGAAUGAGUUAUUAAUAUUACGGUCUGCAGCCCGCAAUACUGAUAAAUCAUCGUUGUCUCGAUAAGUAGGCAACCACUCUCAAAGAUAUAACAUUACUAUUUUGUCACUCAAUGUAAAAUACAUAUACUCGUCUCAACUACAUUUAUUUACUACUCUCUAGGUAAUAACAUACAUAAUAAGAAAUAUAUUAGUCGAAGUCAACUAGAAUGACCUGUACGGCUGAUUCAACAAUUAUCUCAAUAAUACGUCGGCCGGAUCCACUCCGCGUGGUCGGUACGGCCGAGCCUAUAACUCACCAAUUUCUCAUGCGUCAGCCAGAUCCACCUCUCGUGGCCUGUAUGGCUGAACAUAUAACUCAUCAAAUAUCUCUGUACCCACAGUCAAUCCGACCAAACUACUAAGUCCAUAAACCUGCUGAAUCGAUACUAUGAUGUCAUAGAAAAUUGUGAGUACAACUGAUUAUAGGGACGAUUCACAAUUCUGUGUCCCCUCUGUUCACAUAAACACAUUCAUUAAUUUCACACUUCCCAAAGUGUUAAUUUUUUACCUGCUGCACAAAGUACAUUUCCUUUACUCGAGACACCUUGUCUCAAAUAUCUGGGAUUACCAGUAUAUCCAUCACUUUUACUCUGACCAGCGACAUUAAAACCUCAGCUGGAAGAAUUAACUCUAGCUUCACUUCUUUCGAAGCUCUGAAUCUUUCUAUCUCCUUGAUAUGACGAAUCAUUAACUUUAUCGUCUUCUUUUAAUUCCCAUUCAUUUCUUAUUCUUCUUUAUUCUCGUUGAUCAUGUUCUCAGAGUCCUCAAGACUCAACAGCAUCUCGUAUAUUCCUGGUAAGAAGUAUAAUGGAUAGUGGUCACCCAAAAUACCACUUCCCUUUUUGCCACCCAGCUUAAAACAACAUAACACCUCCACCAAUAACAACAAUAUCUGGAUGGAACAAGGCAAGUCUGAAAACUUUCUAUAAUAUCCCUCGAUCAUCACCUUCCUUGUCUCAUAUUUGUAAACUCUUGUUUACUACCAUCGAUAAAUGCCGGAGGGAUAAACUUUUCCUUAAACAAGUCCUUAAACAAUUUUAAAUCGGCUGUUCCUCCGGUGACAACAAUUAAUACUCCUGCUUCCAUCAGGAUACACGUUCAUAACUCAAACCAGGUAGUCAUCUCGACCCCUUGUCAGAAGGAAGAUUCCUUUGACUUGCAUAAUCCGAAACAUCUUUUCCAAAUGGUUAAACCGUUACUUCGCUCCCUCAGGUUCAUCAUUUCAUAAGGUGAUUCAAAUUCGACUCAUAAUCCGUCUUAAAAUGUCCCUUUUGAUAAUAUACUGAAUCACCAUUGUAAUAGUUUCCCCUAAACCGCUAUAUUAGGGAGACUAAAUUCCUCUAACUACGUGGUUUGCUACGAGGCGGUGUAGUUCUGACAGAAUUCACUAGAAACUUCUCAAGAUGUCCAAGAUUGCAACCAUGCUCUGAUACCAACUGACACACCCCGUCCCGAAGGAGGGCAUGCUGGCCGUCACGUGAGAGUGACGUAACCAUUUGCACAGUACGAAAGCUUUAAGAUACAAUUUAAAUUGAUACACCCGAAGGUGAGUCCUAAUUUUGUCCAAUCUGUCAGAACACCGUCGAAUUCCUCGUAGUCACCACACCUUUGUGAUUCCUGAACCUGGAGGGGCGCAAAACCAAAAUUGAGUGGGUCAGUAAAACAAUUCUUUUCCAAAUCCAAACAUUUCUCAAAACGUUGUAACCCCUCUCCGUAAAACCUGUAUACUUUCCCAGAAAUGUAAAAUAUAAAUAUACAUAUAUAUUCUCAAAACUUCAUUUUUUACUAUCUCAACAUUAUCUCUUUAUCAAUCAUGCCAUGCCAUGUCAUCUCAACAUUUCUCAUAUUAAUUAUGCCAUGCCACAUCAUCUCAACAGUAAUAAGGUAUGAAUGCAUCAACAUAAUCAUAUCAGGUGCAAGAAAGUAAUCAACCGUAGGCCCUCUAAUAGCCCUAUACGGUUGAACCUAGAGCUCAAAAUCUAUCAUUAUCACUCUACCGGAGUCACCUCUGUGACCCGUCCGGCCUUCUGCACACAAGUUACGCUCUAAGUGCUUCUCAUAAAUCAUCUGUGCACAUAAUCUAAGGUCACCCACCAGUCGGAAUCUCACUAACACUCUCGCGACUGGUCUGUCGUACCCACUCCGCGUGGACUGUACGACUAGCAUCUACUUGGAUCCAAGGCGAGCGUGCGAUGCGGUGAAUACUAUAAGCACUAAACCAUGGUGCAGGAUUUGAGCUCAAUAUAUAUCAUCAUCAUCAUAGCAGUAAUUAAAUACUCAUCUGUGCGUCCACCGCACCAUUUCAUACAUAUGCAUCAUAAAUCAAUUCUUAC